AUUGAACGCUGGCGGCAGGCCUAACACAUGCAAGUCGAACGGUAACAGGGAUCAGCUUGCUGAUUCGCUGACGAGUGGCGGACGGGUGGGUAAUGUCUGGGAAACUGCCUGAUGGAGGGGGAUAACUACUGGAAACGGUAGCUAAUACCGCAUAACGUCGCAAGACCAAAGAGGGGGACCUUCGGGCCUCUUGCCAUCGGAUGUGCCCAGAUGGGAUUAGCUAGUAGGUGGGGUAACGGCUCACCUAGGCGACGAUCCCUAGCUGGUCUGAGAGGAUGACCAGCCACACUGGAACUGAGACACGGUCCAGACUCCUACGGGAGGCAGCAGUGGGGAAUAUUGCACAAUGGGCGCAAGCCUGAUGCAGCCAUGCCGCGUGUAUGAAGAAGGCCUUCGGGUUGUAAAGUACUUUCAGCGGGGAGGAAGGGAGUAAAGUUAAUACCAUUGCUCAUUGACGUUACCCGCAGAAGAAGCACCGGCUAACUCCGUG
rnacentral:rRNA from 1 species